rnacentral:rRNA from 1 species
UACGGGGGGAGCAAGCGUUGUUCGGAUUUACUGGGCGUAAAGGGCGCGUAGGCGGCGCAACAAGUCACUUGUGAAAUCUCCGGGCUUAACCCGGAGCGGCCAAGUGAUACUGUCGUGCUAGAGUGCGGAAGGGGCUACUGGAAUUCUCGGUGUAGCGGUGAAAUGCGUAGAUAUCAAGAGGAACACCUGAGGUGAAGACGGGUUGCUGGUCUAACACUGACGCUGAGGCGCGAAAGCAUGGGGAGCGAACAGG